rnacentral:rRNA from 1 species
CCUACGGGUGGCAGCAGUGAGGAAUAUUGGUCAAUGGACGGAAGUCUGAACCAGCCAUGCCGCGUGCAGGAAGACGGCUCUAUGAGUUGUAAACUGCUUUUGUACAAGGGUAAACCUGAAUACGUGUAUUCAGCUGAAAGUACUGUACGAAUAAGGAUCGGCUAACUCCGUGCCAGCAGCCGCGGUAAUACGGAGGAUCCAAGCGUUCUCCGGAUUUAUUGGGUUUAAAGGGUGCGUAGGCGGAUUUGUAAGUUAGGGGGGAAAUGUCCGGGCUUAACGCGGGAACUGACUUUAAUACUGGUGAUCUAGAGAGUAGGAGCGGUAGGCGGAAUGUAAGGUGUAGCGGUGAAAUGCUUAGAGAUCAUACAGAACACCGAUGGCGAAGGCAGCUUACCAAUCUAUAUCUGACGUUGAGGCACGAAAGCGUGGGGAGCAAACAGGAUUAGAUACCCCUGUAGUC